rnacentral:rRNA from 1 species
GGCCGAGGGGUGAGUAACACGUGGGUAAUCUGCCUGUAAGACGGGGAUAACUCCCGGAAACCGGGGCUAAUACCGGAUAAUAAGAGAAGAAGCAUUUCUUCUUUUUGAAAGUCGGCCUCUCGCUGACACUUACAGAUGAGCCCGCGGCGCAUUAGCUAGUUGGUGAGGUAACGGCUCACCAAGGCGACGAUGCGUAGCCGACCUGAGAGGGUGAUCGGCCACACUGGGACUGAGACACGGCCCAGACUCCUACGGGAGGCAGCAGUAGGGAAUCUUCGGCAAUGGGCGAAAGCCUGACCGAGCAACGCCGCGUGAGCGAUGAAGGCCUUCGGGUCGUAAAGCUCUGUUGUUAGAGAAGAACAAGUACGAGAGUAACUGCUCGUACCUUGACGGUACCUAACCAGAAAGCCACGGCUAACUACGUGCCAGCAGCCGCGGUAAUACGUAGGUGGCAAGCGUUAUCCGGAAUUAUUGGGCGUAAAGCGCGCGCAGGCGGUCUCUUAAGUCUGAUGUGAAAGCCCACGGCUCAACCGUGGAGGGUCAUUGGAAACUGGGAGACUUGAGUGCAGGAGAGAAAAGUGGAAUUCCACGUGUAGCGGUGAAAUGCGUAGAGAUGUGGAGGAACACCAGUGGCGAAGGCGGCUUUUUGGCCUGUAACUGACGCUGAGGCGCGAAAGCGUGGGGAGCAAACAGGAUUAGAUACCCUGGUAGUCCACGCCGUAAACGAUGAGUGCUAGGUGUUGGGGGGUUCCACCCUCAGUGCUGAAGUUAACACAUUAAGCACUCCGCCUGGGGAGUGCGACCGCAAGGUUGAAACUCAAAGGAAUUGACGGGGGCCCGCCCCAGCCUUGGAGCAUGUGGUUUAAUUCGAAGAAACGCGCAGAACAUUCCCAGGUCGUGGCACCCGCUGACCACUCUAGAGAGAGAGCUUUCCCCUCCGGGGGGCAGAAUGACAGAGGGGCAGGCUGGUCGUCUGCU